GUAGACAGAGGGUAAAGCCAAGAACAGCAAGUGAAGAGACUGGGAAAACACAUAGAGUUAACACUGUAUGCACCUCUCCAGAUUAAGGAGCUUGAAGUUUUUCCUAGAGAAAUCCUGUCUUAGAAAGUGAAUUUGGAUAAGAUUGCUCUGGAAAGACAUGCAGCUGGGGAUGGAGUUUCAAUCAAAUGUGAGGCAGGAGGCAACACUGAGGAGCAUGACUGAAAAAGACUGAAGGAGAUGGAAGAGCAGUGGCAGGAAGGGCCGGGGCCAGAUGCAGUACUGCCACGAAAACAGGGGGCUUCCCAGGAGUUACCUGUGGGGCCAGUCAAAGCAAAGCACAGCAGCAGCUGUCUCACAUUCCUGUCACCACAGCUGGAGCUGAUCUGGUCAACACAGUUUCCCUGCCAUGAUGGACUGGACCCUCCAACUAUGGGUCAAAAUAAAC